AGUAGAACGCGAGGCGCCGUCCAGCCAUUGAAGAUCACCAAGCAGCAAAAAUCCCAGAAACCAAGAGAAAGUUCCGGAGCACAUGAAAACUACCUGGAUGAGUAUGUGACUGAAGAGGAUGAAGAGGGGGAAAGCCUUGCUGAGGAGCAGAGUGAAGCCUGUCCAGACAUACAAGAUGGAGAGGGGCAUGGAAGUGAUCAGUCCAGAAGUGAAAAACCAGAAGACUUGAUGAAACUUCUGGCCAUGAUGCUUUUGUCAUGGCAAUCAACCUUCAAGAUUUCUGAUAACGCCAUCACAUCGCUUCUUCUGUGCAUCAAACAGUUUGUGUGGAUACUUGGAAAUGUUCUCUGUGUUAAUUCCCUCACUGCCUUUUCCAGCAAUAUUCCAGCAAUAUACAGGUUUUGUACUGUUGCUAUUAUUGAUAGACAUAUACCCUUGGCUGCUACUUUCACAGUACACUGUUGAAACACAUUAUUGUUGCAUUCAUGUCUUUGUUAUUUUUAGUACUAGUAAAAGUUUUUCAUCUCACUGUGUACUAUGUAUGGCUUAAAUGACAAUAAACCUUCUUGACUUGA